rnacentral:rRNA from 1 species
UACAGAGGUGCCAAGCGUUAGGCGGAAUCACUGGGCUUAAAGCGCACGUAGGCGGCUUACUAAGUCAGGGGUGAAAUCCUGGAGCUCAACUCCAGAACUGCCUUUGAUACUGAAGAUCUUGAGUUCGGGAGAGGUGAGUGGAACUGCGAGUGUAGAGGUGAAAUUCGUAGAUAUUCGCAAGAACACCAGUGGCGAAGGCGGCUCACUGGCCCGAUACUGACGCUGAGGCACGAAAGCGUGGGGAGCAAACAGG